rnacentral:rRNA from 1 species
CACACCGCCCGUCACACCACGAAAGCUGCGUGUACCAGAAGUCACUGAGCUAACCCCUAUGGGGAGGCAGGGUGCCGAAGGUGUGCGGGGUAAUUGGGGUG